rnacentral:rRNA from 1 species
GGAGUUUGGACCGUGUCUCAGUUCCAAUGUGGGGGACCUUCCUCUCAGAACCCCUACUGAUCGUCGACUUGGUGAGCCGUUACCUCACCAACUAUCUAAUCAGAAGCGUGCUCACCCAUAGUCCUUACGUUUCAUCACAAAGUCAUGCGGCUUCGUGACACAUGGAGCUUUAAUCCAACUUUCGCUGGGCUAUUCCCCGUCUAUGGACAGAUUGCACACCUGUUACGCACCCGUGCGCCGGUCGCCGCCAGAAAUAGCAAGCUACUUCCGCGCUGCCCCUCGACUUGCAUGUGUUAGGCCUGUCGCUAGCGUUCAUC